rfam:Schistosoma rodhaini strain Burundi genome assembly, scaffold: SROB_scaffold0008562
ACACUGCUGAGGAGUCCCACAUAAGGACGAAAUGGCCAUCCAGUGC